UGGGGAAUAUUGGACAAUGGGCGAAAGCCUGAUCCAGCCAUGCCGCGUGUGUGAAGAAGGUCUUCGGAUUGUAAAGCACUUUAAGUUGGGAGGAAGGGCAUUAACCUAAUACGUUAGUGUUUUGACGUUACCGACAGAAUAAGCACCGGCUAACUCUGUGCCAGCAGCCGCGGUAAUACAGAGGGUGCAAGCGUUAAUCGGAAUUACUGGGCGUAAAGCGCGCGUAGGUGGUUUGUUAAGUUGGAUGUGAAAUCCCCGGGCUCAACCUGGGAACUGCAUUCAAAACUGACUGACUAGAGUAUGGUAGAGGGUGGUGGAAUUUCCUGUGUAGCGGUGAAAUGCGUAGAUAUAGGAAGGAACACCAGUGGCGAAGGCGACCACCUGGACCAAUACUGACACUGAGGUGCGAAAGCGUGGGGAGCAAACA
rnacentral:rRNA from 1 species